rnacentral:tRNA from 1 species
UCCCUAGUGGCUCAGUGGUAUAGAACCUGCCUACCAAUGCAGGAGACCCAGGUUCGAUCCCUGGGUUGGGAA